rnacentral:tRNA from 1 species
GCGUUGGUGGUAUAGUGGUGAGCAUAGCUGCCUUCCAAGCAGUUGACCCGGGUUCUUCCCGGCCACAACGCA